GCGCCAAACCUCCCAUAAAAUGUGAUGAGAACAGGACUGGGCCUCAGAAUCUUCAUUCCAUUCUCCAUGAUGGCAAUUAAAAUAACAUUAAAAUUAGAAACAGAAUUAGCAGGUGCCAGACUCUUCUUGUUAUCUUCCAUCUUCUGUGUUUGGUAAGAUGUUUUUCUGAUAGUGGUUGCAUUCACUGAGUUCAUAUAUACAAAAUAUGAAUGCUUCAGGCUUUCCAUAGUGUGGAGCACAUGUUAAGAAAAAUUGAGGACUCUCUCAUGUACAGUCUGCCUUUCCAUUUGUAAUUGCAAAGCACUCCCAUGGCAAAACCAGUGCUGCAUAGAUGGCUAAACACUAUUUGUGUCCUUUUUACCUUUAUUUGGUGUGAAGCAUAUAAUCUUUUUCUGAAAUGUUAAUGACUGACAAGUUAUUCCCUUUUUCAGCCCCACCCUGCACUUCAGAUAAUUCUGCCCUUUGGGAAAACACUGAUAUCAAGCACACUUCCUUCAGAAAUGAAGUUGGAUCUGUACAAGUCAUAAAAUCAGGCACGUACUUAUGCAGCAGCGCCAACAGCCAGCAUCAAACAUCAGUGAGCAAAGCCAUGGGCUCUCAAGUGCGUGGUCUUGAAGACCAAGUAGGUCUCUGAUCCCUGCGCUAGCAAAUAUUGCUCAAGUGCUGAAUUCCUAAGCAAGGUGAAAAAUGCAUUAUUUAAAACGUGAUUGUGUUCCUGCAUUGCACAAUAUUAAUGUUGCUAAAGCUACUUAAUGCUUACACAUCUAAUGCAUUUAUAUAGCAAUUUGACACAUUUUAACUGAACUUUUUAAUAAUUGUUUCUAGUCAUUCAUGAAUUUGGCAAAUUUGGACCAAAUGUUUCAUUGGUUUCCAUGUGCAUAUAUCAUUGGUUGCCCAUUCAGCCUCCUCUUCUGCAUGACUAAAAAUUUCAGCUUUUUAUGAAGAUCUGCUCUUCAUUUGGUCUCU
rnacentral:lncRNA from 1 species